rnacentral:tRNA from 1 species
UGCUCUCUCGUCUAACUGGCAGGACACCAGAAUCUGACUCUGGCAGUUGAGGUUCGAAUCCUUGGGGAGCAA